rnacentral:miRNA from 1 species
UUUUUGCCUCUUUCAAUUUUCGAAAAAGGGGCAAAAAUUGGGAAAAAAGUAAUGCAUUUAAUGCCUUAUCGUUUCGUCCAUUUGUUGCCCCUUUUUCAAAAAUCGAAGGGGCAAAAA